ACACGGUGACCUUCUUUCCUCAGCUCCCUUGCAGCUACAAGCCCUGAGGGUCCAGCUCCAAUCACACAUACAUUUUUGGAUUGAUGGAUAAAAAAUGAUGAUAAUAUGUAGUUGGGAGAUAGUCAAAGUCUGGUGGAGAUGGUUUGUUAGCUGGGAGACCACACGUGACAGAUUAACCUCAAUGCCUAAGAUUUCUCUACUUUUAACUAAAAAGUUUACUUGCAAAUAAAUUUUCGAUCUCAUCUUUUGUUAUUUCUGAUCCUUCAUCGUCAUCAUAUCCCAGUGGUCUCCAGCCAAUUAAAGGACUUUGGGAUAUGUACAGGCUCAUGCAUGCAAGUUCAAUUCAGUCUUUAUAACUUUUCAUGAAAAAAAAAGUAAAAUAAAUUUACGGAUUUUAUGAAAUAUCUUUGCGUAAUUGAUUUCAAAGUUUGAUACCAACUUCACGAGAUGACCCUUCGUCAUCCAACACAGCAGUACAAACUCAAUGGGCCAUCAACACUGGACAUCAACUUAUCAUGGAGUUUGGAUUUUCUGCUUCUAUAUAUUCUCCGGUUAAUUAUGGUAAAUAUCACCAUUUUUUUUUACAGAAAUUAAAGGGUGCAUGCAUGUGUAAUUAGCAAUGUGUCAAGUGUAGGGUUAGCAAGCAGAAGAAAAGUAGUGUAGUCGCAGUCCCCACAACUACAGAAAGAAUGCCCCAUCUUGAAGGCAACAAAACGUCAACAAUCAUGAAACAGUGCACAUGUUUAUUCAACAAAAUUUCCUUCUCCAGUUUGACUUGCAACUGUGGUGAUCAUGAAGUGAAGUGAUCAUAUCCCAAAUUUCAUUUACUUCUGUACAUUAACAAACCCACACACAUACUAUACAUAGAAGGAAAAAAAAUUACUCA